UACGUAGGGGGCAAGCGUUGUCCGGAUUUAUUGGGCGUAAAGAGCGUGUAGGCGGCCAGGUAGGUCAGCUGUGAAAACUCGAGGCUUAACCUCGAGACGCCGGCUGAAACCCUCUGGCUAGAGUCCGGAAGAGGAGAGCGGAAUUCCUGGUGUAGCGGUGAAAUGCGCAGAUAUCAGGAGGAACACCGGUGGCGAAGGCGGGUCUCUGGGCCGAUACUGACGCUGGAGGAGCGAAAGCGUGGGGAGCGAACAGG
rnacentral:rRNA from 1 species